UCCUUCACCAGGAAUAAAAACCUAUGCAUUAACAUUUUGACUACGAUAUUACAUGUUACCGGAAGUUGCGUAAGCGGAAAUUCCACUACCCGUAAUCCGGAUGGAUGUGUAAUGCCGCGGGAGCUUAAAUACACGCCACGCCCACCCGAUGCGAUGGAAAAGACAACGCUGAAACAAGUUUUCACUUCGCGUUUUUCGAUCAUCAGAUUCGAAACGAAGACGUAUCAUCGCAUCAAAACGUAGAAGAACUGUAACAACUGGAGCGGAGCGAAUGAAUUGCGUCCAUUUGAGCGAGGCUGGACACAAAGUUAAAAAGAUCCAGCAGACACUUGGAGUCGGAAAGACGCAAAUCUAAAAAACUUUAAACAACAAGGCAUCGAUUCAACUCCUGAUGACAAGCCACCAUCCAGCAAGGAAGCAAUGCAAAUGGCAACAAAAAUCCUUCAGUAUGCACAAGAAUUACCAGACAUCGGUGAUCAACAGGACAGUUACUUGCAACUAGUAAGAAAACUGUAUGACACGCAGGCAAACAUUGUCAUAAACCAAAGAAUGCAUC